rnacentral:rRNA from 1 species
UGGGCGUAAGGGCUCGCAGGCGGUUUCUUAAGUCUGAUGUGAAAGCCCCCGGCUCAACCGGGGAGGGUCAUUGGAAACUGGGAAACUUGAGUGCAGAAGAGGAGAGUGGAAUUCCACGUGUAGCGGUGAAAUGCGUAGAGAUGUGGAGGAACACCAGUGGCGAAGGCGACUCUCUGGUCUGUAACUGACGCUGAGGAGCGAAAGCGUGGGGAGCGAACAGGAUUAGAUACCCUGGUAGUCCACGCCGUAAACGAUGAGUGCUAAGUGUUAGGGGGUUUCCGCCCCUUAGUGCUGCAGCUAACGCAUUAAGCACUCCGCCUGGGGAGUACGGUCGCAAGACUGAAACUCAAAGGAAUUGACGGGGGCCCGCACAAGCGGUGGAGCAUGUGGUUUAAUUCGAAGCAACGCGAAGAACCUUACCAGGUCUUGACAUCCUCUGACAGCCCUAGAGAUAGGGCUUUCCCUUCGGGGACAGAGUGACAGGUGGUGCAUGGUUGUCGUCAGCUCGUGUCGUGAGAUGUUGGGUUAAGUCCCGCAACGAGCGCAACCCUUGAUCUUAGUUGCCAGCAUUCAGUUGGGCACUCUAAGGUGACUGCCGGUGACAAACCGGAGGAAGGUGGGGAUGACGUCAAAUCAUCAUGCCCCUUAUGACCUGGGCUACACACGUGCUACAAUGGACAGAACAAAGGGCUGCAAGACCGCAAGGUUUAGCCAAUCCCAUAAAUCUGUU